ensembl:lncRNA
CUCCCGUUCUCUAGCAGUCCGCUGAGAGGAGAGUAACAGGUUUUGCCGGCCGAGUGGAGUCCCUUCGGACGUCGUUGGGGAGGGUUUAGCUCCUCAGCCUUUCCAGGUGGCACACAAACUGCUGUUUUGCCCAGUUUUCGGAGAAGACACGGUGUCAUCAUGGACGAGUAGAUGCAAGAACUUCGGGAGAUGGUGCAAAGGUUGAAGGCAGAUAAUGAGCGGCUGUUACAGGAAAGACAGUCCCUAAACCCGGUCCCGGGCUCCUCGACGGCACCUCCCUCUGCCAACGAUGGUAGUCUUGACUCUGCGCAACCACUCGGUACUUUCGGUAUGGAAACCUCUACUAGGUUGCCACCAGUUGUUGAGCGUGUGGUGUACAUUCCCAAGGAUAAGUGUUCCACCUUUACAGGAGAAGGAGACGUAUCGGUGAGGGAAUGGGUGGAUGAGGUGCAGUCAAAAUUUCGCACACGUAGGAUGUCUAUUGUAGAACAGGCCCAUUUCAUUUAUGACCAUUUAGGAGGAGCAGCAAGAGACGAAAUUAAGUAUCGUUCUAGACAGGUUCGGGAAGAUCCCAAACUAAUUUUUUCCAUCCUUCAGACUCAGUAUGGCUGUGCAGACUCACCUAUUGCUCUAUUGCAGAAUUUCCACUCUCGGAAACAGCAAGAAGGGGAGACAUUGCGUGAGUAUGCAAAUGCGCUAUUCUCCCUAAUGGAUAUUGUUAUACAACAUUCUCCUGACGGAGUUGCACAGGCAGCUAGCCUCCUACGCGAUCAAUAUGUUGAGUUCGUGUCGGAUGGCAACCUUAGCCGUGCGCUGAAAGAACUUGUUCGUAUUAACCCCGCCUAUGAUCUCCAUGAUAUCCGUGAUGCAGCCGUCCGAUGGGAGCGAGAAGGCAGACCACGGGAAGGGAGGCCGAGAAGCUAUUCUGUCCCGUCGGUUUAUAGCAUCCAUCAGGGCGCUUCCGUUUAUGCAGUUUUCUAAAACAUUGUCAGCCUUAA